rnacentral:rRNA from 1 species
UACGUAGGGUGCGAGCGUUUAAUCGGAAUUACUGGGCGUAAAGCGCACGUAGGCGGCGAUUCAAGUCAGAGGUGAAAGCCCGGGGCUCAACCCCGGAACUGCCUUUGAAACUAGAUUGCUAGAAUCUUGGAGAGGUCAGUGGAAUUCCGAGUGUAGAGGUGAAAUUCGUAGAUAUUCGGAAGAACACCAGUGGCGAAGGCGACUGACUGGACAAGUAUUGACGCUGAGGUGCGAAAGCGUGGGGAGCAAACAGG